GCCUCGGUAGUAUAAUGGAUCAGCACGGCAGACCGGAUAUAUGUAAGUGCGGGUUCAAGUCUCGCCCGAGGCU
rfam:Dictyocaulus viviparus strain HannoverDv2000 D_viviparus-1.0_Cont1.139, whole genome shotgun sequence.